rnacentral:rRNA from 1 species
UAGGGAAUCUUCCACAAUGGGCGAAAGCCUGAUGGAGCAACGCCGCGUGUGUGAUGAAGGGUUUCGGCUCGUAAACACUGUUGUAAGAGAAGAAUGACAUUGAGAGUAACUGUUCAAUGUGUGACGGUAUCUUACCAGAAAGGAACGGCUAAAUACGUGCCAGCAG